AUAAUGUAAAGCUAAAAUAACACUUUUGUGAAAUGUGAAUACACUAUCAAUCCGGUCUUCAAAAUGCAUGUAGUUUAAAGUUGUGAAAUGCAUCUGGAUGAUUUCAUAGAAGACUAAAAUGCAAUUACAAUUUCAACUAUACAUGGUAAUUCUUCAUUGAGCACAAUAGUGGCAAUCCGGUCUUCAAAAUAUUACACGUUCCGAAUCCAACUCAAUCAAUAGAGCUCGAUUGCUUCCCUUUUGAAUUCUCUUUCGCGCUACGACUUGCCUUGCAUAUUUUCUCAUUCAUCUGAAAUGUGUAGAUCUUCUUCAUCGUUGAUGUGAACUCGAGAUUCGAACUUUUGCGAGAUUUCUUCAAUGUUUUUGUUCGUUGAAAGGUUCACUAUUGAAGCGUUAUUGUUGGACAGUUGGCAGCUUGAUUCUUCUUUGACAACCAAUCCCAAAAUCCGCAAUUCUCGCUGCAACAAAGAAAUAAUGGCCAUUUAUUUGCUGUCUACUUCUCCACCUCGAAACACUUCUCAAAUCCAUGCUUGCAUUUCGGGCAUCGUCGUUUCCUUGGCCAUUCGGCAAAGAAAUAAUCCUUAGCUCUACAACUAUGACAUAUGCCAGUAUUUCUUCCGCCCAUUCUACGAUAGAAAUAAACCGCACGGUUAAAUCAAAUUAAUUCAAUGUCACUAUAAAAACUAAUGAAACCACAAUAGAAAUCUCAUAGAGUGGUCAUGUAAUAAAUGUACGAUGCAAAAUAAAUGGCAUGGGAUACUGUUGAGACAUUCUGAAAAUAAAUGGCUACUUUGUCUGGGGAAAGUUGAGACAUUCUUCACCUCAAAAGGUGGAGAAAAAAAAAAAAUAAUUGCAUCUAACAUCUAAUCAGCAUAUCAAAAUAUUGACAGAAAGUGAAACCUUAAUCAAAAAGACCAAUGCUUGCUAUCAUUUUUUCCUCUUAAUUAGGGUUAGACAAAU
rnacentral:lncRNA from 1 species